AAUAAAAUAUUUGUUCUAAAAUAAAAAAAUUGUAGAGUAAAAGCAUGUAGAAUGUGGAAUAAAUUAAAUAAAUGAAUAAAUAAAAAUGUAGAUUUGUCUAUGGUUCCACAUAUAUGUAUAUAUAUUAAGCUUUUUGUUGUUUUAUAAAAUAUCUUUGCAUCUAUUUAAAAUGAGUAUAUGUAAAUAUAUAUGCACGGCGCUUCUUAUAUUUAUUUUCUCUAAAAAAAUGUUUGUUCUUAUGUCUCUAAACUGAAAUUGUUGAAAAGAAAUUAGCCAAGAGGAUAAAAUUAAGUGCAGUAAUAAAAGUGAAAAAUAAAAAAAACAAAAAAAGGGAUAUAUAUAUAGAUACAUAUAUGAAAAGUAAAAAUAGUAUGCGCAUGGAGUAGUAAAAAAUGACAAGCUGCGUUUUUAAAAACACGAAAAAAAAAGAGUAUAGAGAAUUAAAGAAGCGCAUGAAAAUAAAAAUUAAGGACAUCUUAUAUAGUAAUAAACAAAAUAAACGAAUUUGGUUACAUGGUAAUUACUCUAAUUAUUUUUAUGAGCGAUAUAAAAAAAAAAAAAUAACAUAUAAACAGGAAAAUAGCGGACGAAGUAAUACUAAUGUCAAAAGUAAUGUCAACAGUAAUGUCAACAGUAAUGUCAACAGUAAUGUCAAUAGCAGUGAUAAUGACGAAGAAAACGAAACUAAAGAAACAAACGAAAUGAAUAAAACAAAUAUGCACAUAAUUGAUAUAAAAAACACGAAUGAAAUAAAAAUGAUUGAAGAUUACAGAUUAGCACAUGUUAAUAAUUUAAUAAAUAAUAUUUUUAAAAACAAAAUUAUAUUAGAUAUAGGUUGUAAUUGCGGUAUAACAACUUUUUUAUUAAGUUUAAAAUAUAAUUGUAAGAUUGUUAAUGGUAUGGAUAUAGACGAUUCUAUAAUUGACAAGAAUCUUGGGGUGUUAAGAUUAUUUAUUCAAUUUGUUGUAAUUUAUAAUAAACAAAAACAUAUGAUACCUUUUUUAUUAAAUCAAGCAAAAUUGAUACAAAUACAGAGGGACAUAUAUAUGGAUCUAUAUUUUUUAUAUGAACAGUUAAUGUUACAACAUUCAGGUGUAAUUGAUAAUAAACAUAAUAAUUAUGAUGUAAAAAAGGAAAAAGGUUGUUACAUAGUUAGUGAUGAUCUUAGCAGGGGUAAUAUUACUUACAACCUAACUAACAAUAACCAUAACAAAGGAACUAGUAUUGACCACACACAUAACAAUAACAAUAACA
rnacentral:lncRNA from 1 species